AUCGUACUCCCUCCAUUCCGAAUUACUUGUCGCACGUAUGGAUGUAUCUAGAUGUAUUUUAGUUCUAGAUAUAUCCACUUCAGCGACGAGUAAUUUGGGAAGGAGGGAGUACUUC
rfam:Triticum aestivum genome assembly, contig: Triticum_aestivum_CS42_TGACv1_scaffold_405443_5BL